rnacentral:tRNA from 5 species
GGAGGGUUGGCAGAGUGGCUAAUUGCGCGGGUUUCGAAAACCCGUAUCCCGAAAGGGAUGCACAGGUUCAAAUCCUGUACCCUCCG